GCAGCUUGCUGGACUGUAACUGACGCUGAGGCACGAAAGCGUGGGGAUCAAACAGGAUUAGAUACCCUGGUANNNACGCCGUAAACGAUGAAUGCUAGCUGUUAGCGAUAUACUGUUAGCGGCACAGAGAAAUCGUUAAGCAUUCCACCUGGGGAGUACGCCGGCAACGGUGAAACUCAAAGGAAUUGACGGGGGCCCGCACAAGCGGAGGAACAUGUGGUUUAAUUCGAUGAUACGCGAGGAACCUUACCUGGGCUUAAAUUGCAGUGGAAUAACGUGGAAACAUGUUAGCCUUCGGGCCGCUGUGAAGGUGCUGCAUGGUUGUCGUCAGCUCGUGCCGUGAGGUGUCGGCUUAAGUGCCAUAACGAGCGCAACCCUCAUCGAUAGUUACUAACAGGUCAAGCUGAGGACUCUAUCGAGACUGCCAGCGUAAGCUGUGAGGAAGGUGUGGAUGACGUCAAAUCAGCACGGCCCUUACGUCCGGGGCGACACACGUGUUACAAUGGGAGGUACAAAGGGCAGCUACCUGGCGACAGGAUGCUAAUCUCUAAAACCUUUCUCAGUUCGGAUUGGAGUCUGCAACUCGACUCCAUGAAGCUGGAUUCGCUAGUAAUCGCGCAUCAGCCAUGGCGCGGUGAAUACGUUCCCGGGCCUUGUACACACCGCCCGUCAAGCCAUGGAAGCUGGGGGUACCUGAAGUAUGCAACCGCAAGGAGCGUCCUAGGGUAAAACCGGUAACUGGGGCU
rnacentral:rRNA from 1 species